GGAAACGGCGUCUAAUACUGGAUACGAGUAGCGACCGCAUGGUCAGCUACUGGAAAGAUUUAUUGGUUGGGGAUGGGCUCGCGGCCUAUCAGCUUGUUGGUGAGGUAAUGGCUCACCAAGGCGUCGACGGGUAGCCGGCCUGAGAGGGUGACCGGCCACACUGGGACUGAGACACGGCCCAGACUCCUACGGGAGGCAGCAGUGGGGAAUAUUGCACAAUGGGCGCAAGCCUGAUGCAGCAACGCCGCGUGAGGGAUGACGGCCUUCGGGUUGUAAACCUCUUUUAGCAGGGAAGAAGCGAAAGUGACGGUACCUGCAGAAAAAGCGCCGGCUAACUACGUGCCAGCAGCCGCGGUAAUACGUAGGGCGCAAGCGUUAUCCGGAAUUAUUGGGCGUAAAGAGCUCGUAGGCGGUUUGUCGCGUCUGCUGUGAAAUCCGGAGGCUCAACCUCCGGCCUGCAGUGGGUACGGGCAGACUAGAGUGCGGUAGGGGAGAUUGGAAUUCCUGGUGUAGCGGUGGAAUGCGCAGAUAUCAGGAGGAACACCGAUGGCGAAGGCAGAUCUCUGGGCCGUAACUGACGCUGAGGAGCGAAAGGGUGGGGAGCAAACAGGCUUAGAUACCCUGGUAGUCCACCCCGUAAACGUUGGGAACUAGUUGUGGGGUCCAUUCCACGGAUUCCGUGACGCAGCUAACGCAUUAAGUUCCCCGCCUGGGGAGUACGGCCGCAAGGCUAAAACUCAAAGGAAUUGACGGGGACCCGCACAAGCGGCGGAGCAUGCGGAUUAAUUCGAUGCAACGCGAAGAACCUUACCAAGGCUUGACAUAUACGAGAACGGGCCAGAAAUGGUCAACUCUUUGGACACUCGUAAACAGGUGGUGCAUGGUUGUCGUCAGCUCGUGUCGUGAGAUGUUGGGUUAAGUCCCGCAACGAGCGCAACCCUCGUUCUAUGUUGCCAGCACGUAAUGGUGGGAACUCAUGGGAUACUGCCGGGGUCAACUCGGAGGAAGGUGGGGAUGACGUCAAAUCAUCAUGCCCCUUAUGUCUUGGGCUUCACGCAUGCUACAAUGGCCGGUACAAAGGGCUGCAAUACCGCGAGGUGGAGCGAAUCCCAAAAAGCCGGUCCCAGUUCGGAUUGAGGUCUGCAACUCGACCUCAUGAAGUCGGAGUCGCUAGUAAUCGCAGAUCAGCAACGCUGCGGUGAAUACGUUCCCGGGUCUUGCACACACCGCC
rnacentral:rRNA from 1 species